GAUGAACGCUGGCGGCGUGCUUAACACAUGCAAGUCGAACGAAGCAUUUGCGACAGAUUUUUUCGGAAUGAAGUUGCUUAUGACUGAGUGGCGGACGGGUGAGUAACGCGUGGGUAACCUGCCUUGUACUGGGGGAUAGCAGCUGGAAACGGCUGGUAAUACCGCAUAAGCGCACAAUGUUGCAUGACAUGGUGUGAAAAACUCCGGUGGUAUAAGAUGGACCCGCGUCUGAUUAGCUAGUUGGUGAGAUAACAGCCCACCAAGGCGACGAUCAGUAGCCGAACUGAGAGGGAGACCGGCCACAUUGGGACUGAGCCACGGCCCAGACUCCUACGGGAGGCAGCAGUGGGGAAUAUUGCACAAUGGAGGAAACUCUGAUGCAGCGACGCCGCGUGAGUGAAGAAGUAAUUCGUUAUGUAAAGCUCUAUCAACAGGGAAGAUAGUGACGGUACCUGACUAAGAAGCUCCGGCUAAAUACGUG
rnacentral:rRNA from 1 species